AUUGAACGCUGGCGGCAUGCCUUACACAUGCAAGUCGAACGGUAACAGGUCUUCGGAUGCUGACGAGUGGCGAACGGGUGAGUAAUACAUCGGAACGUGCCUAGUAGUGGGGGAUAACUACUCGAAAGAGUGGCUAAUACCGCAUGAGAUCUACGGAUGAAAGCAGGGGAUCGCAAGACCUUGUGCUACUAGAGCGGCCGAUGGCAGAUUAGGUAGUUGGUGGGAUAAAAGCUUACCAAGCCGACGAUCUGUAGCUGGUCUGAGAGGACGAUCAGCCCCAAUGGGACUAAGACACGGCCCAGACUCCUACGGGAGGCAGCAGUGGGGAAUUUUGGACAAUGGGCGAAAGCCUGAUCCAGCAAUGCCGCGUGCAGGAUGAAGGCCUUCGGGUUGUAAACUGCUUUUGUACGGAACGAAAAGCCCCGGGUUAAUACCCUGGGGUCAUGACGGUACCGUAAGAAUAAGCACCGGCUAACUACGUGCCAGCAGCCGCCGUAA
rnacentral:rRNA from 1 species